GGUGGGGUUCCCGAGUGGCCAAAGGGGGCAGACUGUAAAUCUGCUGGCGACCGCCUUCGCUGGUUCAAAUCCAGCCCCCACCACCA
rnacentral:tRNA from 1 species